AUCAAAUAUCAUACACUAAAUCGUUGAUAUUAUUCUGUUCUGAUUAUAUGAAUAGUUACUAUUCGAGUAAUCGUUCUUAAAUCUUCAAGUUUUUAGCUAAUUUUUCAACUUUUCAUGCGUCUUUGCUAGAAAUGAUAAAAAAAUAUUUUUGUAAGAUACACGUAAUAAUCCUGAAAUCCAAACUCGUGAUGCAACUGAGUGUGGCGUGUGUCUUCACUCAACGAAGCAAAAAUAAAAAAUGGCGAGCGUGUGGUUGAAGUGAGCAGAAGCUCGCAUGUAAAAAUGGCAGAUAUUUUCAGCCGAAAUCUCGGAAACGUUCGGAAACAUAUACAUCUUCUGGUAGCGGUGAAAUCGUCGAGGAGGAAGUCAAAAAAUACGUCCGGCCUAGUUCCUCAGCCACGAUUGCGACCACCAGACACCAGCCGCUACCGACCGUACCGCCAUUAAUUUUUCUUCUCCCACGGCACAAGAGCACUCGGCAACAGACUGGGCACAGCGGUCACAAGUGGUCAGGGACGAUAUGCUGGAGUCUCAAGUGUUCGCCGAAACAAAUCAUAACAGAACACAAAUAGAAUGUGUACUUUUUUGCUGUGAUUUCGUGUCCCGAACCAAACGGCACCAGUUUCUUCCAAUUGUAAAAUAAGCUCCGGCAAAAAAAAGUGCCAGUGCCAAAAUGAAUACCAACACUUCCGGCACGCUGUCGAACGGGCCAGCGGAAACGACGAAAAAUUCUGCGGUUGAAAUCGCUCAAAAACAGAAAGCUCUGCAGGCACGUCUUCAACUGCCAUCAUUGUCAACGGAUUCCCGGACAAGUGAUUCGGAACCGUGUGAGCCACUUGCAGAAAUUCAGGAACGGAAGAAUCUUUUUCCAGAAAUAACUAUCCCACUGGCUAAAAGCAGAAACAACAGGAAGGUGGUGAACACC